GGGAAUAAAAGAUAUAUAUCCAUUAUAAUCAACUCAACAUCCUAGUUUACGUUGGUUUACUCUAUAGUGCAACCAACAUAUACUUACUACUUGAAACACUAGCAACUAAUACACACUGAGAACGAUACCCCAUAAUUAUAAAGCAAUAGGGGGUCGUAAAGUUGCUAUAAAGUUUUAACUGAGAAGAAGAUGGAUAAUAUUUGGGAAAGAGAUCAAAAGUAGAGGACAGUAAAUAAGAAUGCUUUACGGCAAACAUGUCCACCCCCACCCUAAACAAAAGGGUGUCUGGGGUGUGUGUAGUUAGCUUUACUUCAAUACUUGUUCGCGAUUCCUGACAGUGAGGAGUAAGUUCCAAGAGCAGCACAUACAAUCCCAAGUGCAAUAACGCUGAUGCUAGACACCCUCUGCGUCCGUGUUGCUUUCUUUCCGAUGAUCUUUAGGUAACAUAAAGCUGGUAUUAUUAUAGACACCAGUAUACUGAAAAGAGAACCAAUCAGAGCCAUCACAAGACCAAAAAAGGGGAGAAGAAAUGCUACACAUACUGUAGAAAAGACAAGCGCUGUCCUUAAGAGAAGAAAACACCAGAGACUACUAGAGAUUCUCUCGGGCAGCAAUUCCUCUAUGCAUCUUCCCAAGGGAUUCAUCAGCAACGCAUAUUUUGUGAAUGGGCUAAUAACAGUGGUCCAUACUGCAACUUUUGAAGCAAUUGAAUUGUUCGGCAUAUUUAAAGUUAUCUGAGAUAAUGUACUUUGACCAAACAUGAGAUACCCCAUUAUUGCAACACCUCCAUAUAUGAGAAUGCACAGAAUAAAGCAUAUUAUAAGUGCAACAUUGAAUUUUGACUUGUCAGCCAUAGAUUGGUAGAUGUUUGGAAACACUGAGUGCCCAGAGUAACAAAAACCAUACACUCCGAUAGAAAAAGGAAUGCCACUCCAGUUCACAACCUGACUGGUAUUGUGAAAUCCAACUCCAUCCACCGUACCAAGGAAAAUCACACACAGAACAAUUAUCAUGGUUGCAAAGACCCCACAGGCUGAGAGGUAUGAUAUUACAUGAAGGUCCCUCAACCAAACAGUUGGCAGAAUAAUUAGGGCAGCCAGAAUCCCAAAGAUGUGAAUUGAAUCAAGUUUAAGGCCUCCCCAGUUCAGUGAAGAUCCAGGAAAAAGGCUAGUAAGGUUAUCUCCUUCCAAAAUUAUAAAUUCUACACAAUAUGAAUAUAGCUCCACGUAC
rnacentral:misc_RNA from 1 species